UGAGGAAUAUUGCCCAAUGGAGGAAACUCUGAGGCAGCAACGCCGCGUGAACGAUGACGGCCUUCGGGUUGUAAAGUUCUUUUCUCAGGGACGAUGAUGACGGUACCUGAGGAAUAAGUCCCGGCUAACUACGUGCCAGCAGCCGCGGUAAAACGUAGGGGACGAGCGUUAUCCGGAUUUACUGGGCGUAAAGCGCCCGUAGGCGGCUCGAUAAGUUGGACGUGAAAGCUCCUGGCUUAACUGGGAGAGGCCGUUCAAAACUGUAGGGCUAGAGUGAGGCAGAGGAGCGCGGAAUUCCCGGUGUAGUGGUGGAAUGCGUAGAUAUCGGGAGGAACACCAGUGGCGAAAGCGGCGCUCUGGGCCUAAACUGACGCUCAGACGCGAAAGCUAGGGUAGUAAACGGGAUUAGAGACCCGGUAAUCCUAGCCGUAAACGAUGUAGACUUGGCGUCGGUGGCUUAAACACCAUCGGUGCCGCAGCAAACGCGAUAAGUCUA
rnacentral:rRNA from 1 species